GGAAAAAACCCCUGUUGCAGCCCCCUUGUUGAGGGGGGCAUUUAAAAGCACGCCUCAACAACCCUAAGUCAACGCGGGUCAAAGAUUUCAAAGAGAUGUCGAGGCGGGCUUUUAAUUGUUCGCCUCAAGACAACUCUAUUGGGGCGGGCUUUGGUGUUGUACGCUUCAACCGUUUCAAGGUUGUGAAGCGAACAUUCUAUUGCUCGCUUCAACAGAGUCUCAGCCCGCGAAUUUUAAAGCCCAAUUAAGUAAUACCCAAAUGCCCAACUCACCUCCAUUAUAAUUAGGGUUUUUUCUUAUUUCCUUGGCCGGCCGUUUUUUCUUCUCUCUCCUUAUUUCCUUAUAUUUUUGUGCUUCAACAGAUCCAUCUCUCAUUAUAUUUUUUCAUAAUCAUCUCACUUCUCAUCUUUUUUUCUUGCGAUUUAUUUCAAAUCACCUUAUUUCUCAAUUACAAUUACAAAUUGCGAUUUAGAUUUACAGAUUGUGAUUUAUUUUUUACAACUCAUACAUUUACAGAUUGCGGUUUAUUUUUUCUUGAAAAAAAUAACCAUGGAUUCUUCAACCAUCUCAUUCCCUGUGGCGUUUUCUCUCCAUUUGUGUUUGCGGUUCGUGUUUGCGGUUCACAAAAGAUAGAGAAACCAAAGCUUCGAACCAUCCUCCCUAUUUUCUCGACAUGGUGAUGCUAACAAGGUUUGUCAUGGCUGUGAGAUUUGCAAACAAAUACAUUUUCAAUGGAGUUGUCGAUUUUCUUAGUUUGGAUUUUUCAUAUAUUUGUACUUUGAUUUAUUCAACUUUGUAAGAUAAUAUAGAAACUCAUAUGUACUCCGUAUUUGAUUAAUAAUAAUAAAAAAGUUAAGUAUUUCAAGA